CGCGCAGGCUGUAGAUCAAGUCAGCUGUGAAAUGUCUGGGCUUAACCCGGGCAUGCGGUUGAAACUGAUGUACUGGAGUGCUGUAGAGGCAAGUGGAAUUCCCAGUGUAGCGGUGAAAUGCGUGGAUAUUGGGAAGAACACCGGUGGCGAAGGCGACUUGCUGGGCAGCAACUGACGCUGAGGCGCGAAAGCCAGGGGAGCAAACG
rnacentral:rRNA from 1 species